rnacentral:rRNA from 2 species
ACGGGAGGCAGCAGUCGGGAAUAUUGCACAAUGGAGGAAACUCUGAUGCAGUGACGCCGCGUAUAGGAAGAAGGUCUUUGGAUUGUAAACUAUUGUCGACAGGGAAGAAAAAAAUGACAGUACCUGUGGAGGAAGCCCCGGCAAACUACGUGCCAGCAGCCGCGGUAAUACGUAGGGGGCAAGCGUUAUCCGGAUUUAUUGGGUGUAAAGGGUGCGUAGACGGCAUGGCAAGUUGGUUGUGAAAUCCCGAGGCUCAACUUCGGAACUGCAACCAAAACUGUCAAGCUUGAGUGCGGGAGAGGAAAGUGGAAUUCCUAGUGUAGCGGUGAAAUGCGUAGAUAUUAGGAGGAACACCAGUGGCGAAGGCGACUUUCUGGACCGUAACUGACGUUGAGGCACGAAAGUGUGGGGAGCAAACAGGAUUAGAUACCCUGGUA